AAAGUUUGGAUGGCACUAUAAAUCAUUAUCAUUAUGUUUUUCUGAAACAUAUUUAGUUCUUGAUUGUUUGUUUUUGUUUUGAACAAUUGUUCCUCAGUUAAAAUGUUUGCAUAUUUUGAGUCAUCAAGCUGACAAACAACAAUUACGUUUUCUUUUAGACUUUUCUCUUCCCAUCUUUAUCAAGGGGGACAGUUCUCUGGGGCAUUGUAUGUCACUUAUAGACUUUGAUUCCCUAUGGGCUUAGGACCAAGGGCUACAGAAUAAGCACCUUGGUCCCAAGCAAUUUUUUUACAAAAAUGUAACGCUGUUAAUAACAUAUAAUGAGUAACAGCACAUCACCACAACACUACGUUUCCCUACACGCUGUAUUUUUUGCAGAACGUGGAGUUCAGUUGGGAGGGGCUUCGGACACUGCAACAAAAGGGCUUCAGCGUGGAGCCGACCAGAGGCAUAAUUGAUGCAGGCCACAGAUGCACCAUCACUGUGAUCUGGACUCCCCCUAGGGGCCUUAAGCCCAAUGAGGUUGUUCAGGUGUGUGCACCCCUCAUCUUGAAAGGAGACCAGACCGAGGUAUACAGUGUCACCCUGCUGGCCUUUGCAUCCAGAUGCCUUCAAGAGCCUUCACGCCAGUAUCUAUAAAACACUUCACACACUAACCAAUAUCUGAACACAUAAAACACUUCACACACUAACCUGUAUCUGAACACAUAAAACACUUCACACACUAACCAGUAUCUGAACACAUAAAACACUUCACAUACUAACCAAUGUUUUAACAUUUAGAACACCCAUAACACCAGAGAUGGGACUGCGAGUGACAAAAUUAAAUAUUGUUUAAUAACAAAGUAUAGACUAAAUGUUUUUUUGUUGUUAUUGUACUUUUUGGAAAUAGUAUGCCUUUUAAAAAAUAUGUAAUUUUUAGUAACAUAGUUCAUAUCAAUAUCAAAUAAGACUCUGUCUGUGGUGGAGGGAAACAGAAACCUAGCUCUUAUUGGUUGAGAGUUUUGGAUCGUUAUUUGUCAUUGGUCUAUUAUUAACUAAAUUAUACUUGGUGAUGUCAUAAGGCAAGCCAAAACUUCCACCUAUGCACACCUACUGUGUACACAGUCAGUAGUGUUUUCAACCAUAAACUAUCACAUUUUUACAGUUGUUUGUUUUGUGAUGUGCCGUUUGAUCCAAAACACACAAAGCAUUGUUUGACUGCACUGAGCCUUUAAUCAUGAGUUAUGGGUGUGGGUUGUUUAUUCACUAAGCAAAAUAAUAAUAAUGGUAGAACAAAAUAUUACAAAAAUAUCUUGAAAUGCAUAGGCACAUAAUCACCCUUUGUUCAUUAGUGGGGAAGAUGAGCUCCUGUUAGAAUUCAAUGGUGGCCCCUGUUCUAGGAUGGUUUCUCCACCAGGGGGCUGUGUAGAACUAUAUACUGUGUUAGAGUAUGGCUGCAUACACCACCAAUUAAACGUGUUUAUUGCUUUUACACACAAAAUGCCAUUAUCAGCCAAGGUCACUUUUACCAGGAUAAAGAAAUAACAGCAAAUGUGGUUAAUUGCAUGAAGUCUAUUUGGAAAAGUAUACUUCAUACACAAAAUCAAUACAUUUAUUUCAAUAUGAAUACUCAAAUUGUUAUUAAAAUGCCAUUUAACUGAUCAUACUAUUAUACUAAUAAUAAUACAGUGAUAUUGAUUGGUCCACUAACUAAAAAAUACAUUUACACUGAAGUAGUAUAUACUUUUAAUUCAUAAAAUCAUAUUAAAUGAUGUACUGUAAAAUAAUGUGUAUUUUCAAUACAUCCACUCAUAUCUAUACAUCCAUGGCACUCCUAGUCUUGAGAUGUGUUGCCUUAAAACAAAUUUUCACAACCCACAAUUACAUAUUUGCCUCAUCGCAAGAACUCUAGUGCAGGUGCAAGAAAGUGGAAGAUCUAGACGUAUCCUCCCUAUGAACAUUUCACCAAGUUGUUCUGCUUCUUAAAACACUGGUCACUCAACCAUGACGUUUUUGGCAACACAAACUGGGGGUGACUGCUCGGCCAACGUUGCAGGUGCCUGGACUUACCACUGGGUGCGUUGACACGUUACUCUAAUCACCCAGAAUGGAGAAUCUAAUUCUAUCUAUGAUGGCACACAACUGCAAAUGUUUAAUGUGAUCCUAAUGCAAGACAUGCUCCAUGGAAAUGGGUCGCAGCAAAAGUAGUCAGAUGCCAGAUGUGUAAGCUUCCUGAAUUUGUGUAUCAUUGUAAAUCUAUGUUCAGUGAUCCAACUGGGUACCAUUCAUAACGUGAACAUUUUAUUUUCCUAAAUAUACCCUAAAUACUAGGAAAAUAUGAACAUUCAAUAGUUUCUUUUCUUUACUGAUUCAUUAUUGAUAAUGAAUAAGUAUCAGUCCACUAGGUCCGUAUGCAUUUGUUUUGCUAGAUCUCUAGUACGCUUUUUCCAUAUUGGUCGCACAUGAGCUUUGCAAAGCUGAUGAACGGUUUGCAACAUUGAGAAGAGUGUAUGUUUUCUCUUGGUUCCCUGCCCUAUUUUAUUAGAGCAUGGUGAUGGCAACCAGGACAUUUGCGUUAGUUUAGGAUCUAAUUCAGGUGAAGUGAACAACCCUCUCUCAUCCCUUUGGGGAGGUGAAAUCAGGGUGAUAAUGAUCUUUGUUGGUGAUCCAACCUCUUCCUGAAGAUAAUUCCCCAGUCACAGAUUUUACCCUGUGGAUCAUACAGUUGCUUUCAAUUUUACAGAGCUGUCUGGCCUUGUGUGGUUUGUUACCAAACUCAAAAUAGUUUUGUUUGGUGUUAGAUCCUAAAACGGUUCUUCUUUGGUGUUUCUCCUGUGCUGAAUGAUGAGCAUUCUCCUUAUUUGCUAAGUUAAUUUGUAUUGCCUUUCUUUUUUCUUACUGGAUGGCUAAAAGGCUAUGAUAGUGUUUCUCAUAAUACAGAUAGGGAGGUCUGUGAGGAGCCGUGGUCUGGUAAUGCUCCCAGCUCCAUACACAUAUAUGUCUCUCCAACAGAGAUCAGUACCCAUCUCCACCCUUCACUUUGGUGAUAUUUAAUGUAAUAUGUUCUGCAGUUUUUACAAUCCCAUGCAGGCAGGAGAUGUCCAUGAAAGCGACAGGUGUCUAGGGAUGGUUGAAGGGCUUGGAUGUCAAAGCAUUCAUUUGACCAUGUGCCACAGAUGAACAUGUAUACAUGUGUGUAAUUGUUUGAGUGGACUUUAUACCUCAUAAUCCCUAUUGAACCUUGAAUCAAAACUGUAAAAGCAUAUCUGUGUUAUUCUACCAUGAAUUUCUUUUAUAGGGGAUUUUUAAGUCUCCUUCAAAUAAGGAGUGUGCUUCGUAUAGGCUUUCUCUUUUAUCAUCCAAAUUGUUUGCUUUCUUUAAUGGGCAGCUCACUAUUCUUUAUGUUGGUUAAUACUUGCUGACGCCAAACGCAAACUCUAAAGGCAAAUGCAAAACAUGGAACUGUGAC
rnacentral:lncRNA from 1 species